ACUCAAAUGAAUUGACGGGGGCCCGCACAAGCAGUGGAGUAUGUGGUUUAAUUCGAAGCAACGCGAAGAACCUUACCAGGGCUUGACAUCCCUUGACGACGGUAGAGAUACCGUUUCCCUUCGGGGCAAGGAGACAGGUGGUGCAUGGUUGUCGUCAGCUCGUGUCGUGAGAUGUUGGGUUAAGUCCCGCAACGAGCGCAACCCUUGUCGUCAGUUGCCAGCAUUAAGAUGGGCACUCUGGCGAGACUGCCGGUGACAAAUCGGAGGAAGGUGGGGACGACGUCAAAUCAUCAUGCCCCUUAUGUCCUGGGCGACACACGUACUACAAUGGCUAUUACAGAGGGAAGCUAAGCUGUAAAGUGGAGCAAACCCCCAAAAAUAGUCUCAGUUCAGAUUGUGGGCUGCAACUCGCCCACAUGAAGUCGGAAUUGCUAGUAAUGGCAGGUCAGCAUACUGCCGUGAAUACGUUCCCGGGCCUUGUACACACCGCCCGU
rnacentral:rRNA from 1 species